GUUUUACAUUUUUAAAAAAGACAGUUGGGACCCCCGAGAAAGUUUUACAUUUUUAAAAAAAGACAAUUGGGACCCCCGAGAAGUUUUACAUUUUUAAAAA